CUGUCUUCUGUGACGAACAAGCCUGUGAGUAAAAUGCUCAGGCCCUGACGGUAACAGAGGAGGAAGCCACGGCUAACUACGUGCCAGCAGCCGCGGUAAUACGUAGGUGGCAAGCGUUGUCCGGAAUCACUGGGCGUAAAGCGCGCGCAGGCGGCGAUCUACGUCUGGGGUGAAAGCCCGGAGCUCAACUCCGGGACUGCCUUGGAUACGGGAUCGCUUGAGAAUUGGAGAGGCAAGGGGAAUUCCACGUGUAGCGGUGAAAUGCGUAGAUAUGUGGAGGAACACCUGUGGCGAAGGCGCCUUGCUGGCCAAUUUCUGACGCUGAGGCGCGAAAGCGUGGGGAGCAAACAGGAUUAGAUACCCUGGUAGUCCACGCCGUAAACGAUGAGUGCUAGGUGUUGGGGGGUACCACCCUCAGUGCCGAAGCUAACGCAUUAAGCACUCCGCCUGGGGAGUACGGUCGCAAGACUG
rnacentral:rRNA from 1 species